rnacentral:lncRNA from 1 species
GGGCUGGAGAAAACCAGUUUGGCUUUUUAUUUUUUGAGACAGAGUUUCACUCUUCUUAUCCAGGCUGGAGUGCAAUGGCACGAUCUCGGCUCACCGCAACCUCCGCCUCCCGGGUUCAAGCAAUUCUGCCUCAGCCUCCCAAGUAGCUGGGAAUACAGACAUGCGCCACCACGCCCGGAUAAUUUUGUAUUUUUAGUAGAGACGGGGUUUCUCCAUGUUGGUCGGGCUGGUCUUGAACUCCCGACCUCAGGCGACCUGCCCACCUCGGCCUAGCUUCUUUUUGCUCUUCUUUCGCUCCUGCCACAUGAGGACAUGGUGUUCCUGCCCUCUGGAGUAUGCAGCAACAAGGUGUCGUCUUGGACGCAGAGACUCGGCCCUCGCUGGACACAGAACCUACCGGUGUCUUCAUCUUGGACUUCCAGCCUGCAGAACUAGGAUACCGUGCAGUGAAGAGAUGAGUGAUG